rnacentral:tRNA from 1 species
GAGGUAGUAGCGAAAUGGCUAACGUCCCGGUCUGCAACACCGUGUGCCUUAAUUGGUGUGAGUUCGAAUCUCACCUACCUCU